GAUCCUGGCUUAGAACGAACGCUGGUGGCGUGUCUUAUACAUGCAAGUCGAGCGAGGCAGCAAUGCCGAGCGGCGAACGGGUGAGUAACGCGUAAGCAAUCUGCCCCAUAUCAGGAAAUACCCGUGCCAACGCGCGGUUAAUGUCCAGGAGAGUGGCUCCCCGCAUGGGGAGUUGACUAGAGAUUUAUCGGUACGGGAUGAGCUUGCGUCCGAUUAGCUAGUUGGCGGGGCAACGGCCCACCAAGGCGACGAUCGGUAGCCGGCCUGAGAGGGUGAUCGGCCACAUUGGGACUGAGAUACGGCCCAGACUCCUACGGGAGGCAGCAGUAGGGAAUAUUGCACAAUGGGGGGAACCCUGAUGCAGCAACGCCACGUGUGGGAAGAAGCAUUUCGGUGUGUAAACCACUGUCGUGAGGGAAUAAGGCCCAGUUUCGGCUGGGAUUGAAUGUACCUCGAAAGGAAGCACCGGCAAACUUCGUGCCAGCAGCAGC
rnacentral:rRNA from 1 species